CAGUAGCCGCGGUAAAACGAGGGGUGCAAGCGUUAUUCGGAUUGAUUGGGUGUAAAGGGUGUGCAGACGGCUUAUUAAGUCACUUGUUAAAUUCUUCGGCCUAACUGAAGGUCUGCAAGUGAUACUGAUGAGCUAGAGGGUGGAAGAGAGAAGUGGAAUUCUCGGAGUAGCGGUAAAAUGCGUAGAUCUCGAGAGGAACACCAAUGGCGAAGGCAGCUUCUUGGUCCAUUCCUGACGUUCCUACACGAAAGCGUGGGGAGCAAACAGGAUUAGAUACCCCCGUAGUCCCUGUCUCUUAUAC
rnacentral:rRNA from 1 species